UACGUAGGGGGCAAGCGUUGUCCGGAAUCAUUGGGCGUAAAGAGCGUGUAGGCGGUUCGGUAAGUCGGCUGUGAAAGUCCAGGGCUCAACCCUGGGAUGCCGGUCGAUACUGCCGGACUAGAGUUCGGAAGAGGCGAGUGGAAUUCCCGGUGUAGCGGUGAAAUGCGCAGAUAUCGGGAGGAACACCAGUGGCGAAGGCGGUUACCUGGGGCUUUGCUGACGCUGAUGCGCGAAAGCGUGGGGAGCGAUCCGG
rnacentral:rRNA from 1 species